CAAUGUCACAAAACUGUUCAUUCAUUUGUUGUGUUAUUGUUGUGUAUUUUCUAUAAUUUUUUUGUUUGCUUGAAUUUAGAUUAGUCUUGAGUGAACUUAUCCAUACGUAUAUUUUACAAAUAGUGCUUUAAUAUGCUAAAUUAUUGUGUAUCUGAAAACUCAGUGCCUAAGUACAGCAGCUGGUGGUGGCUCCUGAUCGGCGGCGGCGACUCCGGGCGGCGGCAGCGCGGCACGGCGCGGACUGGCGAGGUCUGCUCCGAGCUCGUCUGAGAACUGUACAGCUCCUGACUGCUGUCCGAACACCUGAGGUACUUGAGGGCGCGAGUAACUCCGACAGGACAGCACGUACCUACAUACUCGUAUAACUCACGGUAACGGCGAGCCACAUCCCGAGAAACAGGAACGAUGAGGAAUUUAUAGCAGCACCCGAAAAAAUCAACCAAAUUAAAACUUUAAUUACCUUUUUUUGCAAUUAAAACUCGUAAAUUACACUCUGAAUUCGCAAGGAAUAUACGAAUUCUGCAAUUGUAAAAUAUUA